rnacentral:rRNA from 1 species
GGGGAAUUUUCCGCAAUGGGCGAAAGCCUGGCGGAGCAACGCCGCGUGAGGGAUGAAGGCCUCUGGGCUGUAAACCUCUUUUAUCAAGGAAGAAGAUCUGACGGUACUUGAUGAAUAAGCCACGGCUAAUUCCGUGCCAGCAGCCGCGGUGAUACGGGAGUGGCAAGCGUUAUCCGGAAUUAUUGGGCGUAAAGCGUCCGCAGGCGGCCCAACAGGUCUGCUGUUAAAAAGUGGAGCUUAACUCCAUCAUGGCAGUGGAAACUGUUGGGCUAGAGUGUGGUAGGGGCAGAGGGAAUUCCCGGUGUAGCGGUGAAAUGCGCAGAUAUCAGGAGGAACACCAGUGGCGAAGGCGCCGCUCUGGGCCGUAACUGACGCUGAGGAGCGAAAGCAUGGGUAGCAAACAGGAUUAGAUACCCCAGUAGUCAUGGGGAAUUUUCCGCAAUGGGAUUAG